GCUCUUUGGCAGCACGUAUACUAAAUUGGAACAAUACAGAGAAGAUUAACAUGGCCCCUGUGCAAAGAUGGCGUGCAAAUUCAUAAAGCACUCCAUAUUUUU
rnacentral:snRNA from 1 species